GGCUCCAUAGUGUACUGGUUAGCACGUCUGCUUUACAUGCAGAAGGUUCUAGGUUCGAGCCC
rnacentral:tRNA from 1 species